GACGAACGCUGGCGGCGUGCUUAACACAUGCAAGUCGAACGGAAAGGCCCUGCUUGUGGGGUGUGCUCGAGUGGCGAACGGGUGAGUAACACGUGAGUAACCUGCCCUUGACUUUGGGAUGACUUCAGGAAACUGGGGCUUAUACCGGAUGGGAACUCCUUCUUCAUGGUGUGGGUUGGAAAGUUUAGUCGGGUGGGGAUUGACGCGCGGCUCAUCAGCUGGUGGGUGGGGUAGUGGCUUACCAAGGCUUUGACGGGUGGCCGGCCUGGGAGGGUGACCGGCCCCAUUGGGCUUGGGAAGGGGCCCGGACUCCAACGGGAGGAAGGAGUGGGGAAUUUUCGACAAUGGGCGGAAGCCGGAUGCAGGAACGCCGGGUGGGGGAUGAGGGCUUCCGGGUUGUAACCCGCUUUCGGCUGUGACGAAGCGUGAGUGACGGUACUGGGUAAAGAAGCACCGGCUAACUACGUG
rnacentral:rRNA from 1 species